rnacentral:tRNA from 1 species
AUUUAAAUAGCUUAAUUUAGAGCAUAAUAUUGAAGAUAUUAAGGUGGUUAUAAACCUUUAAAUA